rnacentral:lncRNA from 1 species
GGUGUCAGCAAUGACAAAGGUGAAGGCCUCUCGUCAGAUUCUUGUCCAGCAGAGUUCAGGAAGAAUAGCCCAGAGGCCAAUCAACACCAAACAGUGGAGGAUCAUGUCAAAAUUCCUGGCAUUGCCUUCCCUAGUUUUGGCACCAGAAUGAAACAAAAUGAGCCAAAACGGGAGUACAUGAGGCCAUGCUUCACUGGGAGGAAAGAACAGCAAAACUACCUUGAACAAUGCUCCAGCAAAGGAGGUGAGAUUUGGGAAGGCCUCUCUGAGAUCUCCUUUCCCUCCAGCCUACUUGAAUGCAUUUGUUGGGACCAGGUAGCGCCUGCCUGCACCAGCAUCUGCUCCAGCAAGGAAGGUAGCUGUUUGGGAGAGUGUGAAACACCCAACCCCACACCACCCUGGCUCUCAUACCUCCUGAUUGUGCCAGUCCUUGGACCCACUCUGCAGAGGCAUAGGUGGUCAUAAAAGGUAUUUUUCUGAGUUCCCAAAGAACUUUAUUCAAACAAAGGGUUGGGGCACACCUGUAGUAGAACUGUGUGGAGUUCAAUGCUGUAGAAGAGCGAGGAACUCAAUCUGGCCCUUGCAGCAUCAUGUCAGUCUGAGUCGUGGGGGUCUGUCAUUGGCUAGUUGAGAUCAGGGGACUUGGUUCUGCACCUGGCUUCACAGGUUGUAUUUUAUGAAAAUGGAAGUACAGUCUGAAAGAGGCCCUUCAAAGUCAUUUUUUAUUUCUUUUCCUCAUUCCACUCUGCAAAUUCAUUCUUUUUUCUGUCCUCUUUGUCCAACUCAGUCUCUUGCUCCACCAUAUUAUCCCUCUCUCUUUCUGUUCCUCUUUCUGAUCCUGCUCCUCCCCUAUCUCAGAUUUCUCCUUUUACCAUUUUUCUUUUUUCUUUAUUUUCUUUUCUCCUGUCCUUUUACCUCAGCCAUGGUUCAGUAGUUUCAAGGGAAAGUGAGCUUCUAUUGCUGUUGAAGGGAUAUAUUCUUGUCCUUAUUCUUGCCUUUUGAAUUUAAUAGUUUUGUAAAGAUGGUAAGGUCAUUCUAUGUCCUCUGGCUACAAUUGAAACCUUCUCCAAUUUUUUGCCUAUCUACUCCUCGUCCUAACUCUGUCUGUGCCCCAUCCUAAAUGAUAAAGAUGCUAUAUUGAAAGUUUAUUCGCUGCAAACAUAUUUUGGGCUACUUCUUAAUUGUAAUUUAAUUCACAUGGUUUAAAGGUGAUAGAUUAAUGACUACCACAAAUGGUCAAUUUGCAAGUUGUGCUUGAUCCUACUGUGUUGCUGAUUUUGUCAGUUGGGCUAAAGGAUUAUGAUUGAUUCAAGGCAUUGUCUUCUCUAAUAUUAAGAAAAUGAGAAUGUCUAUGAGUCAUGAGAGACUCAAAACCCAAAGUGCAACUAUAUCAGGAAGAUUUAAGUAAUAAGCCAGAAAUUAAACCCAGGACUACCCAACAACAAAAUAAAAAUGAGAAAACACUUAAGCAAGACCCAAAGACAGACUUCCAGGUCAUCAAUGGCAUACACUAGGGCAAAGGAGAAUGAAAAGUCUGGCAGUGAACCAGCAGGACACCCUGAACACAUAGCACAGGAGGUAACAAAACAGACCAAUCAGGCUCUAGAAAAAUUCAAAAAAAAAUGAUUUCCCAAAUAACUAUAGAGAUGGUGAGCAAAAUGAAAGUCAUGGAUUGAGACACUCGAACAGAAACUGAC